UUCCGUAGGGGUGACCUGCGGAGGGAUCAUUACACAAAUAUGAAGGCGGGCUGGAACCUCUCGGGGUUACAGCCUUGCUGAAUUAUUCACCCUUGUCUUUUGCGUACUUCUUGUUUCCUUGGUGGGUUCGCCCACCACUAGGACAAACAUAAACCUUUUGUAAUUGCAAUCAGCGUCAGUAACAAAUUAAUAAUUACAACUUUCAACAACGGAUCUCUUGGUUCUGGCAUCGAUGAAGAACGCAGCGAAAUGCGAUAAGUAGUGUGAAUUGCAGAAUUCAGUGAAUCAUCGAAUCUUUGAACGCACAUUGCGCCCUUUGGUAUUCCAAAGGGCAUGCCUGUUCGAGCGUCAUUUGUACCCUCAAGCUUUGCUUGGUGUUGGGCGUCUUGUCUCUAGCUUUGCUGGAGACUCGCCUUAAAGUAAUUGGCAGCCGGCCUACUGGUUUCGGAGCGCAGCACAAGUCGCACUCUCUAUCAGCAAAGGUCUAGCAUCCAUUAAGCCUUUUUUUCAACUUUUGACCUCGGAUCAGGUAGGGAUACCCGCUGAACUUAAGCAUAUCAAA
rnacentral:rRNA from 1 species